AGGAGAGGGCACCAUUUGGAGAAAGUGCUCAAGGUGCGGUUCCGCAGGCCACAAUAAAAGUACCUGUAAAAACAAAAUUCCAUUGCACAAUGUAUCUUAGACAAUAUGAUUUGUGUUGCUUUGGUAGGUCAUGUAAACUUUACUUUUAUUUGUGGUGGGUUUCGUGUUAUGUUGAAUGGGAAUUCUUUUAAAUUUGCAUAAUUUGAAUUGCAUUGCUGCAGCAUGCUGUAUGGCUUCCAGAUUGCUAUUAUAUUGUACUUUUAUUGUACUGGUAUUGCUUCCAGAUUGCUAUUAUAAUUUGAGUGUGAAUUUAAAAGGGCAUGGAAUGUAAUUCCAAAUGGAUCCAAAACAUUAAAGUUCUUAGAAUUCCUUUAUUACACAGUUACCGUGAUACUCCGACUAUACCUUCUUUUCUAAUUACAAAUUCGGCCGAUGCGUAGGCUAGAUGUGGGGCAAAUACAAGGUGAAAUGUCCUAUGUGUUUGACUACAUAUAGUUGUUGAAGGAGCAUUACGAAUGUUAACCCCAAUAGAUUGCUCAUGUCUUGCCAAGAACACUCUUGAAUUUAUGCAAUGUGCCCAAGCCAGUCCCAAAGCUGGACUCAGCCGUCUGCCUGAUGUGUCCAGGGACUCCAAGUUUCCCAACCUCACCCCAUUCACUCCAUCAUGUGGCCCAAUAAAAUCCACUUGGUUGGUGACAACCACCGCCGACCCAAACUUAUUUGCUAAACCCUUCAAUGUCCCAGAUAUAUUGAAGAACAUUUCAGACUGCCGUUUCAAAUCUGCCGGUGUUGUCUGAUACUGUGAUCGGAACAAUGCAGCAAUGGAAUCAAUGACAAUGAGUUUCACAGGUAGGCGGGUGUGAUCAAUGGCAAUAAAUGCUUCUAUGUCUCAAAGGACAUGGAUGAGUUGUUGAGCAUUAUGAACACCAUGAACAUAUAUGUCUUCCAAUGGCUCCAACCUUAUUAAGUUGGGGUAUGAUGCAUGAUAAAGGUUGCCUAGUUGUUGCAAUCGGCGAAAUGAGAAGCUGAAUUUUGUGAAUAUGUAGACGGAGGAGCCCCCUAGUCCGCCAUGUGAGGGUGGGAGCUGAGCUCGUACUGUAAGUUGGAGACAAAGCUGCGUCUUCCCGUAACCACUCUCCCCUACCAAUUCUGUUAUGGAGUUGCAAGGUAUCCCCCCCCCCCCCCAAAGGAGUCAUUUAGUAUUGGGCAUCCGAUAGAUAAUUUAAGGGUUGAAAGAGGAAGAAGCAUGAGGUUUUGGGGUGUCAUGUUUCUGUAAUUUAGGGGGGGAUGUGAUGGUGCUACAAGGCAUGCAUUAUAUAUAUAGAGUUCAUUUUGAACGUCUGUAAUGGUGGCAGGGGCAAUUUCAAAUUUUCCUUUCAUUGCCUUUAUAUGUAGGAGAUGCAUGCAGGCAUGAUAACAAGAGCGAAUUGUGCGCUUUUUUAUGACACCCCAUCUUGCUUGGCCCUCCACGAUUUUUGAAACUACGUCUGCAUGGAGAUUUUUCCAAAACAUGGUAUUGCCUCGACAUUGUUGCAUGUCAAAGACCAAGUCUGCAGUAAGUAAAUUUGGUGACUUGGCUUGUGUUUCAAUCUCCCCUCCUUCAGCAAUUGAAAGCGUUGGGUUUGGUGUGAGGUUAUGGUCCAUGGUCUUCGAUAUUUAUUGUAGGUUGUUGUACGACUUGAUUUGAAAAAAGGGGGACUAAAUGCGAUGUGAGUGACAUCAAUGGGGAAGGUAAUGGCUGCAAGCAGUCAUACUAUGUGAUGGAAGUUUUCAUUUCAAACAGUUGGGUUGAUUAAUAUAGGCAGGUUUUAAUGACCUGGAGUAACUGAGAGAGUUAUUGGCGAGAGGGAUUAGGGGGAGUAAUUGGAGGGAGGGAUUGGUGGGAGUCUUAGGCGGGAUAGUAUUGGGCGGGAGUUAUUACCCAGUUGAAUGUGGCUGCAUAGAUAUUUAUAAGGGAUUUGCCUAUUUGCCUAAUUCACCAACUCAUUCAAAUUGACCAAUAUGGUUAUUGUCUUAUUUCUCGUUUCAGCAAUCUCAAUUCGUUUCCAUUUUUCCAUUAUUCAUAUUUUCCUAUUUUCCAUGUGUCAUCCAAUUAUCCAAUUAUUAAUUAUUUUUGCCUAUUCCCUAUUUUCCUAUUUUGCAAUUUCCCAAGUUUCCUUUUGUUCUAUUUCCAGUUUUCCAAUUUUUCAAUGUUCCAAUUUUUCCAUUAUGUAAUUAAAAAAAGUUGCCUACUUUGCCUAAUUGAGAAAGUAAUUAAAAUUGUCCAAUAUGGUAAUUGUCUUAUUUCCCACUUCCACAAUUUCAAUUCUUUUCCAAUUUUCCUAUUUUCCAUGUGUCCCUGUUUCCGAUUUCCAUUUAUCCAAUUUUCAGUUUUUGUCCAAUUAUCCAAUUGGGCUAUUUUCUAAGUUUCCUUUUUUUCCUAUUUCCAAUUUUCCAAUUUUCCAAUUUGCUAACUUUCCUUUUGUUCUAUUUCCAAUUUUGCUAUUUUCCAUUUUGCCUUAUUUCCUAUUUUUCAAUUAUCCUGUUAUCCAAUAGUCCAAUUUUCCAAUUUUCCAAUUUGCGAAUUUGCCUAUUUUCCAAGUGUCCUUUUUUCCUAUUUCCUAUUUCGAAUUUUCCAAUUUUUAUGUUUUCAGAGUUUCCUUUUUUUCCUUUUUCCUAUUUUCCUAUUUUCCAAGUUUCCUUUUGUUCAAUUUCCAAUUUUCCAAGUUGCUUUAUUUUCCAAUUUCCUAUUUUCCUAUUUUUCAAGUGUCCUUUUUUCCUUUUUCCAAGUGUCCUUUUAUCCUAUUUCCUAGUUUCCUCUUUCCAAUUUUCCUUUUUUCCUAUUUCCAAUUUUCCAAGUUUCCAUUUUUUCGUUUUUCCAAUUUUCCUUUUUUUCCAAAUUUUCAAUUUUCCAGGUUUCCAUUUUUUCGUUUUUCCAAUUUUCCUUUUGUUCUAUUUCCAAUUUUCCAACUUUCCUUAUUUCCCAUUUUCCAGGUUUGCACUUUUGCUAUUUUCCCAUUUUCCAAUUUUCUUUACUGAAAUUUGCAAUAAAUGCUUAGUUACAUAGUCCUAUUUUGGGUUGAAAUUCACAAUUUUGCAUUUUCCCAUGAAGGUUUGCUUUUUUCCGUUUGUAAGGCAAUUUUAUUGUUGUUAAUGUAAUGCUCUACUGCUGUCAAUUACAGCCAAGGAGUUAAUGGUGUUGUUUGCAAUCCCAUCAAUUGAAUGCAGGAACUAAAUACCCAAUAUAAUUCAUAUCAGUUCCUACAUAUAACUGAACCUUCCAAUGUAUAAUUGCAACAGAAGCACUUUCUUCACGGGAAAGGUAUUUAGUCUUACUCAAAGCCAAACAUUCAGUUGUAAAGCUAACCAUAUUGUCGUUUACAACUGGAGAUUGAAUGUGUCUUUAUUUGUUUUGUUGCAGUCAGCAGCUGUGAAUUGUCCCCAGCAAUACUUAAAGAUGUCGGAUGUGCGCCCUCCAAACGAGCAUGUCAGUUACCCAGGGGACCAGCCGUGGCAUGUGCCAUUCCCAUCUCCACCUCUGACUCCCAAUCAUGAUCCCACUUCAUCUGGAAGUGAGGCUGAGAGCAAUGAUCCGCUUGAAGAAAUCUCUGCCGUCAAGCACGACCUCCAAUAUUUGUCUAAGGCAACAGAUUGGUGGGAGAGCAAAUGUGAAAUUCAUGGCCAAGUUAUGGGAAACUUGGAAUGGAGCCCCUUUUGCUUAACCCCUUCAACCUCAGAAUCUUCAUAAAAGUGCAUAUUGUACAGCACUCGUGCCAACGUAUUGCUAAUAGGGUGCAGAAGUGUAACCAGCUUCGAAGUUAUGGUAAAACCAACGUACGAGUCAUACACAGUUGCAGUAUGUCUGACGAAAUCAAUUUCAAUUGCCACCCAGUGGGACCCUUGAAGAUUAUAAGGAAAAUAGACCUUCUGGACUUUUGUCCAAGCUUGGCCAUACCCGUGUUGCCACGUACCGCGCACAUAGUGAUGUAUAUUGUUCAGCUAGCUGGGCAGAAGGUCAAUGGUGUUUGAAGCAGCUGCCUUCUUCUAUCCACGUUUCUUGGCAGUCGCUUUGAACGGCUCUAGAAAUUGCUGCACACAUUGAAAUGAAGGCAUAUUACAGAAUGACAACCGAAAGCAAAUGAAGCAGUGAAUGUAACAUGGUAACAUGUUUACUUGCAAGCAAUAAUCUGCCGUUGUCCAGUGAGUUCCAAAUAUCAACGGAUGAGAGAGUUGCCUUUUUCGGAUGAGAAAGGUUGCCAUGUCCAGGUGCUGAAAGUUGACGUAUAUAAUAUCAGCACAAUUUCAUACAACUGUACACUUAAAAAAAGGUGAGAAAACAAUUGAAUGAUCGUAAUAAAGUAGAUAUUUGUGUAUUCUUACCCUUGAGCUGAUCCAUUCCGUUUCAUCGAUCAGUUUGUAGAAAAAAUUAGCGCCCACUGAAAAUGAUUCCUGCUGCACCUCCUCACUACAAAAGGCAAACUUGCAACGGUUACUUAUGUACUCCGCUCAUAAUUCUGAGUUUGUUGAUGACAAAUAUGCACAUGUAUAUUAAAGCAAACUCUACAUUUUCUCAUUACUAUAUGACUACAUACUAGAAUAGGAUGAAGAUUGGAUUUUGAAGGUAAGAAAUCCUAACCAGAUAUCAUUUUCCCAGGCAGUGCAAAACUCUAUUACUACCUUCACAUCUUCAAUGGGUAGGGGUUUUGAUGGAUCAAAACAUGGCGGGGUUGCAGUCGCAUCCGACACACUCAUCGUCCUCUUCUUCCUCAAAGGAUCAGUAAAUGAACUCAACAAUGUCUGGGGCGGGCGCUUCUGUCUGCACCCUUUACCUUCCACUUGUUUUUUUUGAACACUCAAACUACCUUCUUCAUCACCAGCCAUACUAACUUUGGGCAUACUUGGAGGAUUCAUCGGACCUCCCGAUGGCAUACUCUUAGUUAUUUUCCAAUCUUCUAACAAAAACAACAGUCUUUGGCAGAUUUCGUCACACCCGGCCACAUCUUCCGGGGUAGGCAGCUUCUCGGAUUGUGCCUGCUCAGCUACUUCAUGCACUUGUAAGUGAGGAAGUGAAGCAGCCAUUUCUGCCUCUUCGACUACCAUGGCUGUGGAGGGUUCGGCUCCAUCAUCGGGGACUUGUGUUUCCAUUGCUACCAAUUCUGUAGGCGGACUAACAUAGUCAUGUAAUGGCGACAAGUCAUUGUCGCCUCCUUCAUUCAUAUGAGGACUACAGAGGUCCUCAUGUCCUUCCCCACCUUCAUUCAACCCACCAUUUCAUUUUUUCAGCUGCUCUAUCUCCAGCUUAAAAUAGUGUUCCAUGGAAGCGAGGGUGUUGCCGAAAUCCUACACCCACUUAUUAUUUUUUGCAAACUCUCUUUCACGUUUCAAUGACUCCUUCCGUACCAUUUCUUCCAACUCACGCACUCUGUUGCGAAGCGCUCGAUUAGAACUGGCUACUUUGGCCAAAUCAUCCUUUGUCCUUUGAAAGUCAUGCUUCAAAGUGCAUAACUCAGUGGACACGAGUUUACCCUGCUUUUAGUUAUAAUGCAAGUGUUACAAUAUUUCCAGAUUAUAUCCCAAAUACAGCAGUUAUAAUGCAAGUGCGUAACUCAGUGGAAAAAAGGUAAUGCUUGCCUUAGAAGACGACGGAAGGCUAGCAGUUUCGUCAAUGUCCUCAUCUUUUUCUUCUACAGAGGCAGAAGUGCUGGUUUUUUGUUCAACGUCAUCACCAAACAACUCAACAAGUUCUUCAGUGUCGUCAACACUGUCACCCCUAGUCCAAUAUGGCUGCUGCUUGUAAAUUACAGAUGGCCGGAGAAGUUGCAUAUCAACCUGCAAUUUACACAGACAAUAUACAUAUCAGUAAACUUAUUAUAUUAUAUUUUCAUAUGCCUAACAUUAUCAUUAGAAAAUUAACUAACCUCAUGGUUCUCGAAUACUUGGCUCAUUAGCUCAUAAAAACACGGCGAAGUAUUUCUCAUCCAAUGUAGUAUACGAGGGAUGUAACCAUUAUCUUUGUGCACCACCAAAGCUAGUGCAGCCAACGCUGGAAAUACCUCAUAAGCCCAAAUCUAGUUUGAAGGAGAAAACAUCAGUCACUGUAAACAAAUGAAAUUUAACUAAAACAUGAAUGGAAAUUUGCUCACCUGAAGUGCAAAGGAAAAACCUUUGAGGUGGUACUCUUUUGGUCUCCCAGUUUCGGUUGUCUUUGCUUUCUUUUCAGAUUUUUUUGUUUUCGCAGCUUUUUUGGGCACUUUCACUCGCUGCUAAUCUACACAAAGUGCCCUCAUAAGUGACGCAUUUGUCUUGGCAUAACACACAGCACCCCAUGGAUACUUCCCAAACUCUUCAAGGUCUUUCGCCAACUUCAAAUAUCGCAUGUCAAUGUGGACAUGUUUUUCACUGCCCAACAGCACAAACACAGCAAAGUAUACAAAUCCGAGCUUCAAUACAUCGUCCGCAUCAGCGCAGUCGAGGAAGGCUUUUUCUAAUUCCAAAAGGUUGACAGUUUUAUCGUUGCCAAAGUACUUCCUUUUCAAUGAGCAGUUCUCAUUAGUGGGAAUCGAAAUGAAGGAAAGGUAUCCAAACCUUAGCCCUGUGACAACGAAAAAUUGCUGCGCUGUGAAUUGGAUCACCUUAUUGCCAACGAUGAAUUUGAUCUCGUUCACUUGGGAAACUGUCUUCGGAUCAGCUUUCCUUAGCAACAAGCCGUGGACAAUUGGCGAAGUCCACUUCAUGUCCUCAAUCUGUAGGAGAUGACCAAAACAACUCUCUUCAAACCUUCGUAGCUGUUGCUCACUGAAUUUCUCCUUUAUCGUACUGAUUGCAGUCUUUGUAUGGGACAGGGACAAUGCUUUUCCAUGGAACUUUUCUUCCUCUGCAAUCAUCAACUUAAUUGGAGAAACCAUAUUUCCCUGCACGCCAAUAUUAUAAAAAUAAUUUCAGUCCAUUGCAAUCUAGACAAUAACAAGCAAUAAACAAUCAGCACUUAUCAACAGCCUAUUAUAGGAUAUUAAGUGAAAAAUAAACAAAAAAUACAGAGCAUAAACAAAACCCCAGCUAUUUACAACUGACCUACUAAUUCAACGGCUCAAAGCCAGUUAGAAAAUUGUCAUAUCCAAAUAAAUAGUGCUGGUUAUAACUGUUUUAUCAGUUACAACUGUUCAGUAAGCCAGUUGAGGUUAGCUGUAACUAUAAUAAGAUGGUGCAAUGUAAUUGAACAAAUCAGAAUAUCUAACUUCUUAGCACCUCUUAUCUCUAUAACCACUCUGUCAAAGUUGUGCUCACAAUGGGGUCUUCUUGGACACAAAUACUAAUAACUAGCUGCUAGCAAUACCAAUAUCCUAUGAUCAAAGAGUCGUUGUUCAAAAUGUAUGCAUGUUUUUCUAUUAUAAAUCAAUUGUUCAAAAUAUUGCAUUCAAAUUCAUAAUUAAGCUCACAUAUUUUUAAAACAAAACAAACUCAGCACUUAUCAAGAGCCUAUUAUUAUAUCAUUGUAUUCAAAGAGCCUAUUACCCCACUAUUGUAUUCAAACGAGCAUUUUUUAUAUCUAAAAACACAUUUUGCUCUGCAAAAUUGUGGCAUUUUAAGUUUUUUUUGCCACUUUUCAGCACAGCUCAUGCACUCUCAUCAAACCAGCCUGACCAAACAAAUACAUUAUAGAACCAUAUCAUCAGAAGAGAAAAUAAGCUUGAUACAAUGGUGUACCACCAGAAAAACCGCAGGAAUGAAAUACCCAUUUAUUUACUUUAACACUAACCAAAAUCAUAGAUAUGAAACCAAUCUCAAAACCAUAUCAAAUGACCCAAAACAAAAACACAUCACCCAAUCCUUAGCUAAAAUCACAAUCACAAUAAAGAACAAUAAAUUAGGGUAAUCUGAAGUCCAUACCAGAUAUCUCAUCAAUUCUAAAAUUAUAAAUGAAUAAAUAAAUAAACUUUAGCGAAUGAUUCAGAACGAAAAAUUAGAGCAAAAAUUAUGUAUAAGACUUCAAAUAAAUUUUAAUAAGAGAACUUAAUCAACUGACCAUAUGAUCGAAUUCUGAAAAGAGCUUGAGAGAAUGAUUUGUCUUCUGAAGAAACAAGCUAAUGAAUGAUGGAGAGUGAUGGCAAUGGUGACUGAGGCGUUCUCGGUCUCAAAUGUGGACUGUGGACCAUUGACAAUCUGCAAAAUUUGAUUAUAAGCAUGUAGAUUCCAGAAGUCGUUUUUGACAAUUACCCAUCCAUAAACAACGUCUCUUCCUUUGCUUUGAUUUGAACAAGUAAAAUCAUAAUAUUGUGGAUUUAAUUAUUGUAGAAAUCACAGAGCCCAUAGCUUAAAAUCUCAUCAAACAAUAUAGAUAGUUGGGACUUACCCAGACAAAGGUGAACGAAGCCCAAACGUUCUGUUUUGAUUUCUGUGAACAGUGCCUGCGAGCGAGUGAGAGUGGGUGUGAGUUAUUACCUAGUUCAUAGAAACCUGUAAACCCAAACCCAAUUUUGGAGCAACCCCUAAACACUAAAACCCUAAACCAAUUUCUUACAAAUCCAUACACCAUAAACCAAAUUCACAAAAACCCCAAAUUUCAAAGAAAACGUAUAUGAACAGUACCUUGUGGAUGUCAACGGUGGAGUUACGCUUGGAUGAACAGCCACCGAUGAGGGAGAAAGACGAUUGCGUCGUGGAGAGAGAGGUACACGAGGGAGAGAGACAGGCCGAAGAGAUAGAGCCAAGAGAGUUGAGAGAGAAGCCAAUUUCUGAAAAAUUGAUAUGGGUGCAAUCAGUCCACAAUAAAGAUGUAUUUAUAGGUGUUAGUUGUAAAAAAAUUAGGAAGGGGUGGUAUUUUUAGUUAAAAUUAUGAAAUGGGUGGCAUUUUAAGCUAUUUCCUAGUUUUUUUUUUUCCUGUCAAAGCUGCCUUAGUUGUUCUUUUAUUACAUUUGUCUUAGUCUUUUUUUUUUUUUUUUGGCACAGUUUUAUGACAAACUGAGGUCUCGCAAACUAAGACAGAACUGUUUAGCAAAUUCUUCCUCUAUUACAAUUAUUGUUAUAGCAACAACAAGAUUGAGAAGUUGAAGAUAAUUGUACAUGUCACUAUCACUGGUGGUUUGUUGGUUGGGGAUGGUAGAGCAAAAGGAGCCUGUAAAUACAAUUUUGUGUACUAAAACAGAACUGCAUUUUCAGCUAGUUGACACACUAACAACUUGGGGCUUAGAGACUGAAUCUUUUGGCAGUCAUUACAAGAGAAUCUGUGGGUAUUCUUUUCUUUUCUUACUGUUAUAGGGUACUCAAGUCAGCCUCAUUACAGAGAGAAACUGCUCCAACUUACAAAUGUGGAGGAGAGGCCGUGGGAUGUGUACUCAAAUGGGAAUAACCAAAACACCUACUGAUGCAAAAUAAGCCACUUCUAGCAGGCAAUGACUCGGGUUUAUCCUCAGAUUUACUGUGAGGAAAGUGCCUAUGAAAGGCAUUCAAUGCUCCUACCAACCCAUCUACGUCAUCUAUGGCCUUGACAAUUUCAACAGCACGCUCUUUAACCUUUCUACCGAAAAUAGUUAUGUCUUUGUUAAUGUAAUAUAUUCAUAUAUAACCCCUAGAGUUAUGACUAGUAUUUGCAUGUUAAAAUUGAUCGAGAAAUAAUGGCAACUUCAAUCAAAUGAGUGCGUAUGCAUGUGUGAUAAUUUUACACUCAAUAUGUAAGGGAUAGAGCAAACAGCCAAUAACUUACCGGUAAGUUAUUGCGUGAAAAGCCAACAUUUAAUCGUCAGGAAAAUGAUUGAGCGAAAAGCCUAUAACUUACCGGUAAGUUAUAGCGCGAAAAGUCAAUACUUAAUCGUCAUGUAAAUGAUGGUGAAAAGACUAUAACUUACCAGUAAGUUAUCGAGUGAAAAGCCAAUACUUUACCAAACAUCAAAAUUAAGAUAUUCUGGUGCGCGUCCACUAACGAGCACACAGUAUCGAAGAAACUCUGGCAUAUGCAUCCCAACUAGGAUUUCAAACUUAAAAUAAUAAUAAAAAGAUCAAGCUUGAAAAAACUAAGCUAUAACAAUACAAAUAAAAUGACAAGACUCGACCUGAAUUUCUCGGAAUCCAUGACGGAUCCCGUGGUAUUUUCGACAUCCAACCGAUAUCGGGCCCACUUACUGAUUUCAAAUGUCCUCUUCCCCUAAAACAAAGGAAAAGAGGGCCGAGACUUCUACUGAAAUUUCGGCAGAGUCUCCCUUGAAAAACGGACUUAACCAAAUAUUUCAACCUGCCAAAAACACAAUUUAAAAUUUCCACACUUCAGCAUGCACAGUCUACCCUCCAGGCAUAGUCAUAAGUAGUUGUAAGGGCUCAAUCCACAAUCAUUCAUCAAUCUAAAAAGGUUUCAGCCCUGACACAAUCACAAACACAUUAUAACCACAUCCCUUUAGGCUAUCGACAAAUUCAAAACCGAACUUAACAAAUCUAAUAAAUAGGAUUCGAUCCCAAUGACCAUAUUAAAGUCCAAAAAUAUAUUUUAUAUUGUGGUUGCACCUGGGUGAGACCCGGGUUCUUUAAAUUGGGUGGGUCAAGUAGAGGAGGAGAGGAAAAGUUUGCAAGUUGUUUUGUCGAAAACGGUGGCCGGACGACGCCGGGUUCAGCGUCGGAAAAUGUUGUUGUGCGACGGAGAGAGAGAGAGAGAGAGAGAGAGACGCGGUCGGAAAAUGUUGUUGUGCGAUGGGGAGAGAGAGAGAGAGAGAGAGAAAAAAAAUCUGACCUGGGUUUUAAAAUUCUGAGAUUGAAAUAUUUACGAUUGUGCCACUGCGCGUCCGUUGACCAUAACUUCUUCGUUAAAACUCCGAUUUGGGCCCACUACAUGUCUAUGAACUCGUAUCGAUGAGCUCUAAGCAAUGAAAUACUGACGGUGGUUGAAGAUGUGAUGUCCCUUUCUUCCAACCUUCGAAUGCCUUUAGUUGUUUUAGUCAAAUGCCCUUAGUCUUUGGUUUUUUUUUUUUUUCUCGUCAAAGCUGCCUUAGUUGUUCUUUUAUUAUAUUUGUCUUAGUCUUUUUUUUUUUUUUGGCACAGCUUUCUGACAAACUGUGGUCCAGCAAACUAGGACAAAACUGUUUAGCAAAUUCUUCGUCUAUUACAAUUAUUGUUAUAGCAACAACAAGAUUGAGAACUUGAAGAUAAUUGUACAUGUCACUAUCACUGGUGGUUUGUUGGUUGGGGAUGGUAGAGCAAAAGGAGCCUGUAAAUGCAAUUUUGUGUACUAAAACAAAACUGCAUUUUCAGCUAGUUGACACACUAACAACUUGGGGCUUAGAGACUGAAUCUUUUUCCAGUCAUUACAAGAGAAUCUGUGGGUAUUCUUUUCUUUUCUUACUGUUAUAGGGUACUCAAGUCAGCCUCAUUACAGAGAGAAACUGCUUCAACUUACAAAUGUGGAGGAGAGGCCGUGGGAUGUGUACUCAAAUGGGAAUAGCCAAAACACCUACUGAUGCAAAAUAAGCCACUUCUAGCAGGCAAUGACUCGGGUUUAUCCUCAGAUUUACUGUGAGGAAAGUGCCUAUGAAAGGCAUUCAAUGCUCCUAUCAACCCAUCUUCGUCAUCUAUCGCCUUGGCAAUUUCAACAACACGCUCUUUAACCUUUCUACCGAAAAUAGUUAUGUCAUUGUUAAUAUAAUAUAUUCAUAUCCAUACUGGGGAUUGAAAUAACAAAAAAUAACCCCUAGAGUUAUGACUUUGCAUGUUAAAAUUGAUCGAAAAACAAUGGCAACUUCAAUCAAAUCAGUGCGUAUGCAUAUGUGAUAAUUUUGCACUCAAUAUGUAAGUGAUAGAGCAAAACGCCAAUAACUUACCCGUAAGUUAUAGCGUGAAAAGCCAAUAUUUUUAACCGUCAUGUAAGUGAUGAAGUGAAAAGCGUAUAACUUACCGGUAAGUUAUGGCGUGAAAAGCAAAUAUUUAAUUGUCAUGUAAAUGAUUGAGCGAAAAGCCUCUAACUUACCGGUAAUUUAUUGCGCGAAAAGCCAAUAUAUAAUUGUCAUGUAAACGAUGGAGUGAAAAGACUAUAACUUACCAGUAAGAAUUCCCUCGCAAGGAGAGGGCACCAUUUGGAGAAAGUGCUCAAGGUGCGGUUCCGCAGGCCACAAUAAAAGUACCUGUAAAAACAAUAUUCCAUUGCGCAAUGUAUCUUAGACAAUAUGAUUUGUGUUGCUUUGGUAGGUCAUGUAAACUUUACUUUUAUUUGUGGUGGGUUUCGUGUUAUCUUGAAUGGGAAUUCUUUUAAAUUUGCAUAAUUUGGGUUACAUUGCUAUAGCAUGCUGUAUUGCUUCUAGAUUGCUAUUAUAUUGUACUUUUAUUGUACUGGUAUUGCUUCCAGAUUGCUAUUAUAAUUUGAGUGUGAAUUUAAAGGGCCUGGAAUGUAAUUCCAAAUGGAUCCAAAACAUUAAAGUUCUUAGAAUUCCUUUAUUACACAGUUACCGUGAUACUCCGACUAUACCUUCUUUUCUAAUGACAAAUUCGGCCGAUGCAUAGGCUAGAUGUGGGGCAAAUACAAGGUGAAAUGUCCUAUGUGUUUGACUACAUAUAGUUGUUGAAGGAGCAUUACGAAUGUUAACCCAAUAGAUUGCUCAUGUCUUGCCAAGAACACUCUUGAAUUUAUGCAAUGUGCCCAAGCCAAUCCCAAAGCUGGACUCACCCAUCGGCCUGAUGUGUCUAGGGACUCCAAGUUUCCCAACCUCACCCCAUUCACUC
rnacentral:lncRNA from 1 species